rnacentral:rRNA from 1 species
UACGUAGGGUGCGAGCGUUAAUCGGAAUUACUGGGCGUAAAGCGUGCGCAGGCGGUGAUGUAAGACCGAUGUGAAAUCCCCGGGCUUAACCUGGGAACUGCAUUGGUGACUGCAUUGCUGGAGUAUGGCAGAGGGGGGGUGGAAUUCCACGUGUAGCAGUGAAAUGCGUAGAGAUGUGGAGGAAUACCGAUGGCGAAGGCAGCCCCCUGGGACAUGACUGACGCUCAUGCACGAAAGCGUGGGGAGCAAACAGG